rnacentral:rRNA from 1 species
UUGAACGCUGGCGGCAGGCCUAACACAUGCAAGUCGAACGGUAACAGGAAGCAGCUUGCUGCUUUGCUGACGAGUGGCGGACGGGUGAGUAAUGUCUGGGAAACUGCCUGAUGGAGGGGGAUAACUACUGGAAACGGUAGCUAAUACCGCAUAACGUCGCAAGACCAAAGAGGGGGACCUUCGGGCCUCUUGCCAUCGGAUGUGCCCAGAUGGGAUUAGCUAGUAGGUGGGGUAAAGGCUCACCUAGGCGACGAUCCCUAGCUGGUCUGAGAGGAUGACCAGCCACACUGGAACUGAGACACGGUCCAGACUCCUACGGGAGGCAGCAGUGGGGAAUAUUGCACAAUGGGCGCAAGCCUGAUGCAGCCAUGCCGCGUGUAUGAAGAAGGCCUUCGGGUUGUAAAGUACUUUCAGCGGGGAGGAAGGGAGUAAAGUUAAUACCUUUGCUCAUUGACGUUACCCGCAGAAGAAGCACCGGCUAACUCCGUGCCAGCAGCCGCGGUAAUACGGAGGGUACAAGCGUUAAUCGGAAUUACUGGGCGUAAAGCGCACGCAGGCGGUUUGUUAAGUCAGAUGUGAAAUCCCCGGGCUCAACCUGGGAACUGCAUCUGAUACUGGCAAGCUUGAGUCUCGUAGAGGGGGGUAGAAUUCCAGGUGUAGCGGUGAAAUGCGUAGAGAUCUGGAGGAAUACCGGUGGCGAAGGCGGCCCCCUGGACGAAGACUGACGCUCAGGUGCGAAAGCGUGGGGAGCAAACAGGAUUAGAUACCCUGGUAGUCCACGCCGUAAACGAUGUCGACUUGGAGGUUGUGCCCUUGAGGCGUGGCUUCCGGAGCUAACGCGUUAAGUCGACCGCCUGGGGAGUACGGCCGCAAGGUUAAAACUCAAAUGAAUUGACGGGGGCCCGCACAAGCGGUGGAGCAUGUGGUUUAAUUCGAUGCAACGCGAAGAACCUUACCUGGUCUUGACAUCCACGGAAGUUUUCAGAGAUGAGAAUGUGCCUUCGGGAACCGUGAGACAGGUGCUGCAUGGCUGUCGUCAGCUCGUGUUGUGAAAUGUUGGGUUAAGUCCCGCAACGAGCGCAACCCUUAUCCUUUGUUGCCAGCGGUCCGGCCGGGAACUCAAAGGAGACUGCCAGUGAUAAACUGGAGGAAGGUGGGGAUGACGUCAAGUCAUCAUGGCCCUUACGACCAGGGCUACACACGUGCUACAAUGGCGCAUACAAAGAGAAGCGACCUCGCGAGAGCAAGCGGACCUCAUAAAGUGCGUCGUAGUCCGGAUUGGAGUCUGCAACUCGACUCCAUGAAGUCGGAAUCGCUAGUAAUCGUGGAUCAGAAUGCCACGGUGAAUACGUUCCCGGGCCUUGUACACACCGCCCGUCACACCAUGGGAGUGGGUUGCAAAAGAAGUAGGUAGCUUAACCUUCGGGAGGGCGCUUACCACUUUGUGAUUCAUGACUGGGGUG